GUGCGGCGGGCCCCAUUGAGCCUACUGGACCGACUCUUCGCGAUUAUUUGAACAGAGACAGACCUACUGUUGAUGAUGUAAAAUCGUUUCUAAAAGAGAAACAUGGUUCACAGUCGCUUGCUCAUUGGGAGGAAGAACAGGACAGAGUGUGGAGAUAGAUGGUUGUAUUACUGGACUGCUUGUUGAUACGUUGAUGGGUUAGAAAUAUAGAGAUGAGCUGAAAAAACACCGCGAGGCAGCUCUAGCAGGUCAAAGCGAGAGUAAGAGAUCUUCAAAAAAGAAAUCAAAGAAGAAAGAGAAGAAAAUGAAACAGAAGUGGAGAACAAGAAAGCUAGCAGU